UUCUUAAAGAUAUGAAUUUAAGUAUCUUCUGCUCAGUGAAUAUUUAAAUAGCUGCGUUUGCACUAAGGUAGCAUAAUAAAUUGCUCUUUAAUUGGGGGCUAGAAUGAACGAAGACAUAGGAAAAAUUUUUCUUAAGAUUGAAAAAUUGAAUUUAAAUUUUUAGUAAAAAUGCUAAAAUACUGUUUAGGGACAAGAAGACCCUAUGAAGCUUUAUAGUUUAUAAUUGAUUAAAAUAUUUUGUUGGGGCAACACUCUAAGAAUGAAGUUUAGAGAUAAUUUUUAUUAAUUAAUAUAUUUUUGAACCAUAAGUUAUGGAUAUUUGAAUAAGUUACUCUAGGGAUAACAGCAUUAUUUAAAUUGGAAAGUUCAAAUUGAAAAUUUAGUUUAUGACCUCGAUGUUGAAUUAAUAUGACUUAAAGGUGAAGGAAUUUUUAAAGUUAGUCUGUUCGACUAUUAAAAUAUUACA
rnacentral:rRNA from 1 species